ACACAGGGAAGGAGGUGGUCCGCGAAAUUGAUAGCUUCAUGGACAUGUGAGGUGGCUGCGCGCUAGCUGCUGCAAUUGGCUCGGAAGAGCUGGCGACAACGCGCGCUGGCGAACUCCCCGCAGCCACCCGGCCCCCGAGUUUCCGGUCUGUCCAACCGGGAAAUCCCUCGGGGGCCGUUCCAU
rnacentral:sRNA from 1 species